UUAAAAACUAGGGGAAACAUUGAAG
rnacentral:piRNA from 1 species